AUUGAACGCUGGCGGCAUGCUUUACACAUGCAAGUCGAACGGUAACAGGCCGCAAGGUGCUGACGAGUGGCGCACGGGUGAGUAAUGCAUCGGAACGUGCCCAGUCGUGGGGGAUAACUACUCGAAAGAGUAGCUAAUACCGCAUACGAUCUAUGGAUGACAGCGGGGGACCGUAAGGCCUCGCGCGAUUGGAGCGGCCGAUGUCAGAUUAGGUAGUUGGUGGGGUAAAGGCUCACCAAGCCAACGAUCUGUAGCUGGUCUGAGAGGACGACCAGCCACACUGGGACUGAGACACGGCCCAGACUCCUACGGGAGGCAGCAGUGGGGAAUUUUGGACAAUGGGCGCAAGCCUGAUCCAGCAAUGCCGCGUGCAGGAAGAAGGCCUUCGGGUUGUAAACUGCUUUUGUACGGAACGAAACGGCUCUGGUUAAUACCCGGGGCUAAUGACGGUACCGUAAGAAUAAGCACCGGCUAACUACGUG
rnacentral:rRNA from 1 species